rnacentral:rRNA from 1 species
GAAUUUUGCGCAAUGGGCGAAAGCCUGACGCAGUAACGCCGCGUGGAGGAAGAAAGCCUUCGGGUUGUAAACUCCUGUCAGAGGGAACGAAAGCUUUUAACUUAACAUCGUUACUUGUUUGACGGUACCCUCAAAGGAAGCCCCGGCUAAUUCCGUGCCAGCAGCCGCGGUAAUACGGAAGGGGCGAGCGUUGUUCGGAAUCAUUGGGCGUAAAGGGCGCGUAGGCGGUCUCGUAUGUCUGCUGUGAAAGCACACGGCUCAACCGUGUAGGGUCGGUAGAAACUGCGAAACUUGAGGCUGGGAGAGGCUGGUGGAAUUCCCUGUGUAGCGGUGAAAUGCGUAGAUAUAGGGGAGAACACUCGUGGCGAAGGCGGCCAGCUGGACCAGUCCUGACGCUGAGGCGCGACAGCGUGGGGAGCAAACAGG